CGCCUCUUGAAUUCAACCCAUAAGAGGUCCAGCCUGCCCAGUGACUUUGUUCAACGGCCGCGGUAUCCUAACCGUGCGAAGGUAGCGUAAUCACUUGUUCUUUAAAUAAGGACUAGUAUGAAUGGCAUCACGAGGGUUAUACUGUCUCCUUUCUCUAAUCAGUGAAAUUAAUCUUCCCGUGAAGAAGCGGGAAUAAUUUUAUAAGACGAGAAGACCCUAUGGAGCUUCAAACUUUCGCAACAAUUGUUACUAUCUUAAAAAAUCCAAGGAUAACAAAAACUACACUAACUCUAUGUUUGCUGGUUUUCGGUUGGGGUGACCGCGGAGUAAAACUUACCCUCCACGAUGAAUAGGUCCUUACCUUAAGCAAAAAACUACAAUUUUAUGCAUUAUUAUAUUAACACUAUUGACCCAAUUUUUUGAUCAACGAACCAAGUUACCCUAGGGAUAACAGCGCAAUCCAUCUUGAGAGCUCUUAUCGACAGAUGGGCUUACGACCUCGAUGUUGGAUCAGGGUAUCCCAGUGGUGUAGCCGCUACUAAGGGUUCGUUUGUUCAACGAUUA
rnacentral:rRNA from 1 species